rnacentral:rRNA from 1 species
AGUGAACGCUGGCGGCAGGCCUAAUACAUGCAAGUCGAACGGCAGCACAGCAGAGCUUGCUCUGUGGGUGGCGAGUGGCGGACAGGUGAGGAAUAUAUCGGAAUCUACCCUUUCGUGGGGGAUAACGUAGGGAAACUUACGCUAAUACCGCAUACGAACUGAGGUUGAAAGCGGCGGACCGCAAGGCGUCGCGCGGAUGGAUGAGCCGAUAUCCGAUUAGCUAGUUGGCGGGGUAAAGGCCCACCAAGGCGACGAUCGGUAGCUGUUCUGAGAGGAUGAUCAGCCACACUGGAACUGAGACACGGUCCAGACUCCUACGGGAGUCAGCAGUGGGGAAUAUUGGACAAUGGGCGCAAGCCUGAUCCAGCCAUGCCGCGUGUGUGAAGAAGGCCUUCGGGUUGUAAAGCACUUUUGUUGGGAAAGAAAAGCGGUCGGUUAAUACCCGGUCGUUCUGACGGUACCCAAAGAAUAAGCACCGGCUAACUUCGUGCCAGCCGCCGCCGUAAAAC